AUUGAACGCUAGCGGGAUGCUUUACACAUGCAAGUCGAACCAGUGGCGUACGGGUGAGUAAUAUAUCGGAGCGUGCCCAGUAUCGGGGGCUAACUACUCGAAAGAGUGGCUAAUUCCCCAUCCUAGUGGCGCGGCCGAUAUCGGAUUAGCUAGUUGGUGGGGUAAAGGCUCACCAAGGCAACGAUCCGUAGCUGGUUUGCGAGGACGACCAGCCACACUGGGACGGAGACACGGCCCGGACUCCUACGGGAGGCAGCAGUGGGGAAUUUUGGACAAUGGGGGAAACCCUGAUCCAGCCAUCCCGCGUGUAUGAGAAGGCCUUCGGGUUGUAAAGUACUUUUGGCAGAGAAGCGGUAUCUGCAGAAUAAGCACCGGCUAACUAUGUGCCAGCAGCCGCGGUAAUAC
rnacentral:rRNA from 1 species